rnacentral:rRNA from 1 species
GACGAACGCUGGCGGCGUGCUUAACACAUGCAAGUCGAACGGAAAGGCCCUGCUUUUGUGGGGUGCUCGAGUGGCGAACGGGUGAGUAACACGUGAGUAACCUGCCCUUGACUUUGGGAUAACUUCAGGAAACUGGGGCUAAUACCGGAUAGGAGCUCCUGCUGCAUGGUGGGGGUUGGAAAGUUUCGGCGGUUGGGGAUGGACUCGCGGCUUAUCAGCUUGUUGGUGGGGUAGUGGCUUAACAAGGCUUUGACGGGUAGCCGGCCUGAGAGGGUGACCGGCCACAUUGGGACUGAGAUACGGCCCAGACUCCUACGGGAGGCAGCAGUGGGGAAUAUUGCACAAUGGGCGGAAGCCUGAUGCAGCAACGCCGCGUGCGGGAUGACGGCCUUCGGGUUGUAAACCGCUUUCGCCUGUGACGAAGCGUGAGUGACGGUAAUGGGUAAAGAAGCACCGGCUAACUACGUGCCAGCAGCCGCGGUGAUACGUAGGGUGCGAGCGUUGUCCGGAUUUAUUGGGCGUAAAGGGCUCGUAGGUGGUUGAUCGCGUCGGAAGUGUAAUCUUGGGGCUUAACCCUGAGCGUGCUUUCGAUACGGGUUGACUUGAGGAAGGUAGGGGAGAAUGGAAUUCCUGGUGGAGCGGUGGAAUGCGCAGAUAUCAGGAGGAACACCAGUGGCGAAGGCGGUUCUCUGGGCCUUUCCUGACGCUGAGGAGCGAAAGCGUGGGGAGCGAACAGGCUUAGAUACCCUGGUAGUCCACGCUGUAAACGGUGGGUACUAGGUGUGGGGUCCAUUCCACGGGUUCCGUGCCGUAGCUAACGCUUUAAGUACCCCGCCUGGGGAGUACGGCCGCAAGGCUAAAACUCAAAGGAAUUGACGGGGCCCCGCACAAGCGGCGGAGCAUGCGGAUUAAUUCGAUGCAACGCGUAGAACCUUACCUGGGUUUGACAUGGAUCGGGAGCGCUCAGAGAUGGGUGUGCCUCUUUUGGGGUCGGUUCACAGGUGGUGCAUGGCUGUCGUCAGCUCGUGUCGUGAGAUGUUGGGUUAAGUCCCGCAACGAGCGCAACCCUUGUUCACUGUUGCCAGCACGUUAUGGUGGGGACUCAGUGGAGACCGCCGGGGUCAACUCGGAGGAAGGUGGGGAUGACGUCAAGUCAUCAUGCCCCUUAUGUCCAGGGCUUCACGCAUGCUACAAUGGCUGGUACAGAGAGUGGCGAGCCUGUGAGGGUGAGCGAAUCUCGGAAAGCCGGUCUCAGUUCGGAUUGGGGUCUGCAACUCGACCUCAUGAAGUCGGAGUCGCUAGUAAUCGCAGAUCAGCAACGCUGCGGUGAAUACGUUCCCGGG